UUAGUGAAAUCUAAAAACUAAUUGGAGGAUGGAGGAUACCCAGCUACCUCUUGCAUGAAAAUUUAGCAUUUUCAACUUGGGAUGUAAUACACUGUUAUCUUUUGGAAGGUCACUAACCUAAUCAAUUUUGACUGAAUGUCUAGAAUUCUCACCCUUUUAAAUGCAAAGCAGUUAUUCUGAUUACUGUAUCAUCCCUGGAUGUAUUGGUAUUCCAGAAAGAUCUUAAAACAUUGAUCUAACCAUGUUAGUCUUUGCAAAUUGAGGAUAAAUACUUGAGCUUCAGCA